GUCCACGCCGUAAACGAUAAUCACUAGAUGUUAGUCCGGCUUAGCUGGAUUGGUGUCGUAGCUAACGCGUUAAGUGAUUCGCCUGGGGAGUACGGUCGCAAGGCUAAAACUUAAAAGAAUUGACGGGGGUCCGCACAAGCGGUGGAACAUGUGGUUUAAUUCGACACUACGCGAGAAACCUUACCUGGACUUGACAUGUAUUUGACAGUUGUAGAAAUAUGAUCUCUUGGGCUUCGGUUCAAGCAGAUACACAGGUGCUGCAUGGCUGUCGU
rnacentral:rRNA from 1 species